GCAAACUUGGUCAUUUAGAGGAAGUAAAAGUCGUAACAAGGUUUCCGUAGGUGAACCUGCGGAAGGAUCAUUACUGAACCGUCAAACACGGGUUGUUGCUGGCCCUCAAAAGGGGGCAUGUGCACGCUCUGUUUACACAUCCACUCACACCUGUGCACCCUCUGUAGUUCUACGGUCUGGGGGACCCCGUCUUCCUUCCGUGGCCCUACGUCUUCACACACGCGCCGUAACUAUGUAUCGUGGAAUGUUUUCUGCGUUUAACGCAAUACAAUACAACUUUCAGCAACGGAUCUCUUGGCUCUCGCAUCGAUGAAGAACGCAGC
rnacentral:misc_RNA from 1 species